UUAUCUAUAGGUUGAGCGUGUUAAGGGAGUUUACCUCACUGCAGGUGUACCUAGCACUUUUAUUGUGAUGGAGCAUAGAUUGCACCAUGAUUUCUGAAGAGGCUGCUCUUUAAAGAGAGCAAAGCCUUAUGGAAAAGUCAAGGUUUCUUUAUGGAAGACGUGAUGGAAACUAUUACAGCUCUGAUCCUCGCUAUUGCUAGAAAAAACAGAGGUAGCAGCAUAAGAGGAAAGUAAGCGCUAAAGUUGAGCCAGGAAUCUUAUACAAGUGGCUGGUAAAGAAGAGAUGAGGAGGGAUGCGAGCAGAGGCAACGGAGAGGCAGAGAUGAUACUGCUUUGUGUCGGCACGGAGUUGGAUGCUUGCACACAAAUAUGUGCCAGGUGAUGACACUGGUUACAAGUAAUCAUGGGCUGAAGAUUGCAACCAGAAAAUUCAGAGCUCUCUUUUGAAAAGAUGACUCAAAGUGCAUGGAUGGAAAAACAGUGGUGCAUGACAGCAGUUCUGGACAAUAGAUUCUGCUCCCUUCCACUCCAUGGGGAAUGUCAGUGACAACCCCACACGUAUCUGCAUGCUGAAGGCUCCAGAUGAAAGCGAUCUCCUCCUAAGCUUCUGUUUUCACACUUCUGAAUGGCAGCUUCCUCAUCUCAGCCUCCUGAUGCUCCUCCUCGGGGCUUGAAGCUGGGGACCAGCUUGAGCCCUGGGUGUGUGUUCUGCAGCUCUCGGGUGUACAGCUGUGGCGUGGGCUGGAGUGGGUGUUUGUUAGCACAGGGGAAGCUCACUGGUAAUGGCCUUUUGUAUGUACUGACCUCUGAACCAGAAACAAGAUUCAAACCUCAGAGGAGACCGGUGAUUAAUCAAAUUGGGGAUCAACUGUGACUCAACCUUUAGAUUCCCAGCUGAGGUUGUGUCCACGGCUGAUUAAAAGAGGGAAAUAUAUUUAGCUAUUUACAGCUGUAUCUCCCUCUGAAAGAGGACAAGGCACCAUGGAUAAACAUAUUUAUGUUUGUUAGAUGUGCAAAUUGUGGUUCCUUUGAAAACCUCACAGUUUAUCAUAGAGCCUCAGAAAGCACAGGGCUGUUUAUUGACACUAGAGGACUUCCCGAGACUGUGCCGUGGCCAUCCCUGCUCGGAGUACUUGACACAGGCUGGCACGUCAGCCAGGGAAAAACACCCAGGCAUUGCCAUCUGCACAUGAAAGACUAAAGGUGGCUCCAAGCAGUCCUCUGUAGGAGAUAAUUUUCCCCCUCAAUUAGGUUACAGUUUCUAGAUGCUGCACCUCAGAAGCCUUACACUCUUCCCAAGCCCAGCUCUACAGUCAGCCAGUGGUGAACAGAACAUACAGACUUUCUAUUGCUAAUAUAUUUCAGAGUGCUGUGUGAUAUUAGCAAACUCCAAAUAGCUGUCAGGACCUGAAGGUAUUCUGGAACAUCCUUUGAUGUUACGAAGUAAUGCGUUUUCCAUAUUAUUCCUUUGAACACAUUAUAUAUGCAAAGUCUAGCACUUCUUAUAGGAGAGGUGGAAUUAUCAUACAAUAAGAUAUUUUUUCCUCUAGUUCUUUCAUGGCUCAUAACAUAUAAAAUUUCUCCUUAAAAUCCAGGCUAGGAACUCAAACUUAAUUUAUACAGUAUUGAAAACAUUACAGGGCAUAAAUCAGUUCAAUUUUUAAAGUUCCUGCAUGAUAUUUUCAGAGCAGCCAAAUUCCUUCAUUCGCCUGGACUCCUUCCAAAAUUCUGCCAGCGCUCAUGGAAAUCUAAAUAACUUUGGAGAAAAAGCAGGUUUUCUGUGGAGGCUCAGAUUACCCUGUCACCCUUCCUCCACUGCAGACAGGCCUCUGAUAAACAUGGAGAAUAGGGACAGGGAAAUUACUUCAUUACUUCAUGUCCUUUUCAAUUACAAACAUCAAGGAGUCUGAGCCUCCUGCCAGCUCACGCCCCAGACCCUUGCAAAUUUGUGGCUUUCAAAAGCCAACAGUUGCAUUUCCUUUGCCAGCAGGGAUAAGCGAUAGAAAGCGAGCAGGGGAGCUCACUUGAAUUUUAUUUCUGAGUGUUAUUUAAAAAGUUUCAAAUCUCAGCUCUGUUUAUUUAAAGUAGGACUCCAGCUGAAAUGUAAGUCUGUGAACUAGAGAAGUGAUCAAAACAGGACCGCACCUUCCUUUCUUUUCUGAGAAUUAAUCACUUACUGGUGGUGUGUUACUGUAAUCUUCCUGUGAUCACUUAACCUGGAAGUGGUACUUCCAGAGAGCUUUGUGAUAUUCUCCUGCUGGCAUCUUCAGAUCUACUAUUUGUACCAUUCAUCUGUUUUCACAGCACAUGAGGAUAAUGCAUUUGUUUUCUACCACCUUUGCUUUGUGUUUUGAUUUACACCUAAAGAAACAAGUGUAUUUUCUUUGAUGUAAUUUUUCCAUUAUUGAUGAACCAAUAUUACAAAACCAAGGCUUUUUAAGAUCUUACUUAGAAACCUCGUUAUUUCUACCAAAUAACAAAAAAAGUAAACCCCAGUGUCAGAGCACUGUGGCAGGAGUGAAUCUGAUUUCCUACUUAAAGCACAAACCAUAGAGGCUCGACCUCUGCUCAGUUUUUAGGUUUUUUUAGGCUUAAAGUCACCGAAAUAGAAGCCUGUGUUUGGGUUAACCACAGGUGUCUGUGUAUAGCUCUGGGAGAGUUUGCUGGGAUUAUUCUGUUCCUCUUUUUUUACACCAUGAUUCUGCAGUGUGGGCUCAGGUGACUUGGUACCUCAACUGGCCAGAUGUCUGCCCUGCAGUGGUGUUAUGUCCUGAUCACCUUUGUGAUCAUCUUUGUGGUCAAGAGAGAGAGAAGGGAGAGGAGGACCUGUGAAAAGGUUGUGGGGUUCUUCAGUGCUUCGCAAUUCAGGUUUUGCUUUGAUAUGAAUUCAACAAUCCAAACAUUCUUGUGAAAUGAAUCUGCAGUGGGUGUGGGUAGAGCAAACAGGUGAUGACAUGGAAAUCAAGAGGCUAUCCAGAAGUUCUCACUACAUCUUUUCCCAGCUUUUACUUGUUUCUUACUUGCAUAUUACUUGAAUACCUCUGUUUAAGUCAGUGGGAAUUUUUCUAAGUGAAAUUGAAGUUGUUACCUAGAAGGUGUGCAGAAUCUUUUCGAUACCUUCAAAGCUUCAUCCCUUGGCUGGAACUCUCCUGGAUUCAGGCUCUGUGUGGGUAUGUACAUGUAUGUAUGUGUGUGUUUGCUUCUUGAUAUUCUCUGCUACCUCUUGGGCCAUAAAUAUUGUGUGAACCACAACAGAGGCAUGUCUACUGCUGGUAUCAGCCCAAGUGUGGAAGUACAUAAAACAAAAAAGUACUAAGGAAAAGUUCACCAGACUUGGAAACUCCCAGCUGGCCAGGGAGCUGCCUGGAAUGAAUGAUCUAUACCUGGAAUAAUUUUGUGUACUCACUGACUCCCUAAGAUAGGAUGCCAAAACUGGUUUUUUGCAUAAUGUUAAGGUCACAAUGAUGUAGGUAUUUUUUAGUUAAUGGAAAUUUUGGAUGCGCUGUAAGCAAUUUUUUCUUUUAAGAAGGAAGACUGCAGAUGGACUCUCAUUCUAUUUGCUGAUGUGUAAUAAGGAAAGGUGUAUCAACCCAAGAAUCCUAUUGUUGUGACAAAUCACGAGAAGGGGAGUAAGACAGUGCCUGCUAAAUGUAGCCUGUGCAAAUCCAGUACAUUCCAAAUCCAUGGAGUGAAAUACUGUUUGGAAUAAAAUAUGAUCGAAACAUUUCUGGAAAUAUAACUCCACUGGCUAGUUCCCCACCUGGACUUAGUUUUCAUAUUGUAGGAGAGUAAUUAAAUUUUUAUUCUUUUUAAAUUAUAGCCCCCCCCAACCCAAUAUCAGUUCUCUUGUCUUCCCACUGAAGCAAGCACUGUUAAGCUGCUAUAACUUUAAGAGCAUGAAAGCAAAUGUUGUAAAGAGGUCACUGUAAAGGUCACGCA